rnacentral:rRNA from 1 species
GAUGAACGCUAGCGGCAGGCUUAAUACAUGCAAGUCGUGGGGCAGCAUGAAUGUAGCAAUACAUUUGAUGGCGACCGGCAAACGGGUGCGGAACACGUACACAACCUUCCUAUAAGUGGGGAAUAGCCCAGAGAAAUUUGGAUUAAUACCCCGUAACAUAACGAUGUGGCAUCACAUUGUUAUUAUAGCUUCGGCGCUUAUUGAUGGGUGUGCGGCUGAUUAGAUAGUUGGCGGGGUAACGGCCCACCAAGUCUACGUUCAGUAGCUGAUGUGAAAGCAUGAUCAGCCACACGGGCACUGAGACACGGGCCCGACUCCUACGGGAGGCAGCAGUAAGGAAUAUUGGUCAAUGGACGCAAGUCUGAACCAGCCAUGCCGCGUGAAGGAUUAAGGUCCUCUGGAUUGUAAACUUCUUUUAUCUGGGACGAAAAAAGGCUAUUCUUAGUCACUUGACGGUACCAGAUGAAUAAGCACCGGCUAACUCCGUGCCAGCCGCCGCGGUAACAC